rnacentral:miRNA from 1 species
CAGCGGGUUCGUUUUUGUUU